rnacentral:rRNA from 1 species
UACGUAGGGGGCAAGCGUUGUUCGGAAUUACUGGGCGUAAAGGGCGCGUAGGCGGCACAGCAAGUCGGGAGUGAAAGCCCGGGGCUCAACCCCGGAACGGCUUUCGAAACUGCUGAGCUAGAGUACAGAAGGGGCAACCGGAAUUCCCAGUGUAGCGGUGAAAUGCGUAGAUAUUGGGAAGAACACCUGAGGCGAAGGCGGGUUGCUGGGCUGAUACUGACGCUGAGGCGCGAAAGCCAGGGGAGCAAACAGG